rnacentral:rRNA from 1 species
CCUACGGGAGGCAGCAGUGGGGAAUAUUGCGCAAUGGGCGAAAGCCUGACGCAGCGACGCCGCGUGAGGGAUGAAGGUCUUCGGAUCGUAAACCUCUGUCAGCAGGGAAGAACGGUCACUGUGCUAAUCAGCAGUGAAUUGACGGUACCUGCAAAGGAAGCACCGGCUAACUCCGUGCCAGCAGCCGCGGUAAUACGGGGGGUGCGAGCUUUAAUCGGAAUUACUGGGCGUAAGGCGCUCGUAGGGGGAAUGUCAAGUCAAGGGGGAAAUCCCCGCGCUCAACGUGGGAACUGCCUUUGAAACUGGCAAACUGGAGUGUGUGAGAGGAUAGUGGAAUUCCAGGUGUAGGAGUGAAAUCCGUAGAUAUCUGGAGGAACAUCAGUGGCGAAGGCGACUAUCUGGCACAUAACUGACGCUGAGGAGCGAAAGCGUGGGUAGCAAACAGGAUUAGAUACCCCAGUAGUC